rnacentral:rRNA from 1 species
AUUGAACGCUAGCGGGAUGCUUUACACAUGCAAGUCGAACGGAGUGGCGAACGGGUGAGUAAUGUAUCGGAACGUGCCCAGUAGCGGGGGAUAACUACGCGAAAGCGUAGCUAAUACCGCAUACUAUUGGAGCGGCCGAUAUCGGUGUAGCUAGUUGGGGAGGUAACGGCUCACCAAGGCGACGAUCCGUAGCUGGUUUGAGAGGACGACCAGCCAAACUGGGACUGUGACAGCGCCAAGCCGCCCACGGGAGGAAGCAGGGGGGAAUUUUGGACAAUGGGGGCAACCCUGAGCCAGCCAUCCCGCGUGGGCGAUGAGGGCCUGCGGGUUGUAAAGCACUUUUGGCAGGAAAGCGGUACCUGCAGAAGAAGCACCGGCUAACUACGUGCCAGCAGCCGCGGUAAUAC